rnacentral:lncRNA from 1 species
GAUGUAGAGGUAUAGUUUCAUGCAAUAUGAUAAAAAACCAUCUUGUUAUCCUUGAUGGCAAUGAUACAAUACGUGCCUUGCUGCCCCUUUUGUCACUGGGAAAGGACACCGCAAGAUCGAACCCAAAGCUAAGCACUUCUCCCAUGGCAAGAACAACCAAUCUAGUAGGCCAAACCAAACUGAUAAUUCGAAGAGACUUGCAAAGAUAACCAAUCAUACAUAAAAGAAUUCAGAGAAGAUUCAAAUAUUAUCCAUAGAUAGACUUGAUCAUAAACCCAGAAUUCAUUGGUCUGAACAAACACACCGCAAAAAGAAGAUUACAUCGAAUAGAUCUCCACGAGAGAGGGGGAGAACAUUGUAUUGAGAUCCAAAAAGAGAGAAGAAGCCAUCUAGCUACUAGCUAUGGACCCGUAGGUCUGAAGUAAACUACUCACAAUUCAACGGAGGGGCUUGGAUGAUGAUGUAGAAGCCCUCCGUGAUCGAUGCCCCCUCUGGCGGAGCUCCGGAACAGGCCCCAAGAUGGGAUCUCGUGGAUACAGAAAGUUGCGGCGAUGGAAUUAGGUUUUUGGCUCUGUCCCCAAUCAUUUGGGGUACAUGGAUAUAUAUAGGAGGAAGAAGUACGUCGGUGGAGCUUCGAGGGGCCCAUGAGGCAGGGGGCGUGCCCUAGGGGGUGUGACGCCCUCGAUUCAAUCGUACACUAAUCAUACACGCAAACGUGUACGAUCAAGAUCAAGGACUCACGGGAAGAUAUCACAACACAACUCUAGACAAAAAUUUAAGAUAAUACAAGCUUUAUAUUACAAGCCAGGGCCUCAAGGGCUCGAAUACAUAAGCUCGAAUACACAAGAGUCAGCGGAAGCAACAAUAUCUGAGUACAGACAUGAGUUAAACAAGUUUGCCUUAAGAAGGCUAGCACAAAAGCAACAUUGAUCGAAAAGGCAAGGCCUCUUGCCUGGGAGCCUCCUAACUACUCCUAGUCGUCUGUGGUCUUCACGUAGUAGUAAGCAUCCUCCGGGUAGUAGUAGUCAUCUGUGGCGUCGUCUGGCUCCUGGGAUUCAUCAUCUGGUCGCAACAAUCGGGUAUGGGGGAAAAGAAGUAGCAAAGCAACUGUGAGUACUCAUCCAAAGUACUCACAAGACUUACAUUAGAUCUAAACUAAGUAUGCAUCUGUAUCAAAGGAAAGGGUUGUAUCUAUGGACUAAACUACAAAAUGCCAGAAGGGAAGGGGAGAACCUAGCCUAUCAAAUACUAGCAUCUUCUAGAAACCACCAUCUUGCAGCAACAGGAGGGGCGUAGAGUAGCAUAAAGUAAAGUAGUAGAAGUGUUAUCAACCUCGGCCAGAGAUCCUUUCUCGACUCCCUCCAAGAAAGCAAUCCCAGAGCCAUACUAUCCAUUUCUCAUCACAACCCAUUUCUCAUCACAAUUAUCCUGUUCUAGUUGUAUCGAUCGGGAUACAACUCCAAGUGUCCGUUACCGUAGGACAGGCUAUCGAUAGAUGUUUUCUUCCCUGCAGGGGUGCACCAACUUACCCAUCACGCUCGAUUAACUCUGGCCGGACACACUUUCUUGGGUCAUGCCCGGCCUCGGCCAAACAAUACGACGCAACCCGACCUAGGCUUAAUAGAGAGGUCAACACGCCGGACUAAACCUAUGCCCCCAGGGGUCAUGGGCCAUCUCCCCGGGAACUCCUACACGUUGCGUAUGCGGCCGGUGAGUAGACCUAGCUACCUCCUUCAAAAAGGCAGGUCCCUACCAGUCCAACCCGGCGCGCAUCGCUCAGUCGCUGACGUCUAUUAAGCUUCGGCUGAUGUAUAUGACGCAGAACGCCCAUACUAUGCCCACGUGAUGGUUAGUGCUAUCAGGCCAGAGGCCCCUCGGAUCAAAUAUCCAAAGCGUAGUGGAUUAGGAACGCGCGGUAACGAGCAGAGACUCGCGAUCGACGUGACUCUGUCACCACAUCUCGAGUACUUGCGGCAAGGGCUAAGAAUACCCGGCCAUGCCUCGUAAGUAUCUCGUGGGCACCUUCCAGGUCAACCCGACUCCACAUCACUUGCUAUUAAACACGCGCGGGUACCCCUCAGGGCCGACCCGUCUUAGUAACAUGGCUUAGUGCAAAGUCAUAGUAACCAUAGUAAUUGUGUGUCUAACACCAAGGGGAAAACACAAGGAAUCACCCCCAGUGAAUUCCACUCGAUGUUGUCAUCAAGGUGAACGUAAGAGGAUCCACCCUCGAGGUUCACACUUGAGGGGUUGCACGACAGAGCCGUAUCAGAAGUGGUUAAGGAGGAAAUCACCCUCGAUGACCAUGACCGAAUAGCUACUCUACAGAGGUCUCAUUAGGAGUGAUGUAAGAGGUUCCACCCUCGGCACUCGAUGGUUACUCUAUAGAGUCGUGCAACUAAGGGGGGUGAUGUGCGGUGUCGGGGCCUGGACGUCGAUCACGUUGAUCGAGUCAUCGAACAUAAAGCGGGGCAACCGGGACAAGGUGGGGGGUCACUGAUGGAUCACUAACCAACCUAUACUAAGCAUUUUAGGAUAAGCAGGUAAGGUAUGAAAGCAGGUAACAACAACAGGCUAUGCAUCAGAGUAGGAUCAUACAUAAAGUAGUAGCAAUUCUAAUGCAAGCAUGAGAGGGAAAGAAAAGGGCGAUAUCGGAAUGCUCAAGGGGGGGGGGGUUGCUUGCCUGGUUGCUCUGGCAAGAGAGAGGGGUCGUCAACAUCGUAGUCGUACUGGGUAGCAGCAGCGUCGGUCUCGGUGUCUAGCGAGAGAAGAGGGGGGAGAAACAAUAAAUAUUAAGCAAACAGAUGCAUAGCGAUGCAUGACAUGACAAGUAGCGGUGCUAGGGGUGCCCUAACGCGGUAUGAGGUGGUACCGGUGAAGGGGGGAAACAUCCGGGAAAAUAUCCCGGUGUUUCGCGUUUUCGGACAGAUGAAUCGGAGGGGGAAAGUUGCGUGUUCGCUAAGCUAGGGAUGCAUGGCAGACGAACGGGCUGCAUAUUCGGAUUCGUCUCGUCGUUCUGAGCAACUUUCAUGUACAAAACAUUUUCAUCCGAGCUACAGUUUAUUUAUUAUGAUUUUUCCAAGUUUUUAAAGAAUUUUUGGAAUUAAUUUGAUGUUUAGAUUCGAAUUAUCCAGAAUAGUGACUGGUGAUGUCAUCAUGACAGCACCAUGACGUGGGUAGGUCAACUGACCUGUUGGCCGGUCAAACCUGACAUAUGGGGCCCGUUGACUAGGUCAACUGCACAGUCAGUAGUCAACAGUCCUGUUGACUUAGUCAGACUUACGUGUGGGUCCCGGUUGUCUUAGACUGCGAUUAACUAAACAGGUUAAAUAGUUUAACUAGUGAUUAGGUUAUCUAAUCAGGAUUAAUUAACUUAAUUAAUUAUUUAAUUAGUUAAUUAAUAUUAAUAUUAUUAAUAAUUCCUUUUUUAAUUCUUCUUUUUUUUACCGUUCCAGGGGGUUGGCCCCACGUGUUAGUGGCUCAUCAGGGGGUUGGUAGCGCAAUUAGCACUAAUGGCCUAUUAGGCCGGCGAGUAAAUGCCGGUGGCUUUCAGCCACGGCGGAGGCAUGCCGGAUGGCCGCUAUGGGCGAUGAGUCGACUCGCGGUGGCCACCGGGGGCGAGCUCGCGCUCGCGCGAUUCCAGAAGAAGCAGAGGGAGGCCGCGGGAUGAAGGGAGGAGGGCCAUGGCGGAGCUGGGCGGCAUCGGCAUGGCGGAUGCAUGCGGGGAGGCAGUGGAGGGCGCGGGCGAGCAGAGGCAUGGCAGAGCGGCGGGGCGCUGGCGGCCAGGGCUGCGCGCGGCGGGCGAGGCCGGCGAGGCCAGCGCGUGGGCGCAUGGCCGGGAGGGCAGCAAUGGGGCGCGCCGCAGCGGCAGGCGACGCGACGGUCGGUAAAGGCGGGCACAGCAGGAGCGGGUCGAGGCGGAGGCGGGCGCACGAUGAGGACGAUUCGAUCGCGGGGAGCACGACGCAGAGGGCGCGCUNNNNNNNNNNNNNNNNNNNNNNNNNNNNNNNNNNNNNNNNNNNNNNNNNNNNNNNNNNNNNNNNNNNNNNNNNNNNNNNNNNNNNNNNNNNNNNNNNNNNNNNNNNNNNNNNNNNNNNNNNNNNNNNNNNNNNNNNNNNNNNNNNNNNNNNNNNNNNNNNNNNNNNNNNNNNNNNNNNNNNNNNNNNNNNNNNNNNNNNNNNNNNNNNNNNNNNNNNNNNNNNNNNNNNNNNNNNNNNNNNNNNNNNNNNNNNNNNNNNNNNNNNNNNNNNNNNNNNNNNNNNNNNNNNNNNNNNNNNNNNNNNNNNNNNNNNNNNNNNNNNNNNNNNNNNNNNNNNNNNNNNNNNNNNNNNNNNNNNNNNNNNNNNNNNNNNNNNNNNNNNNNNNNNNNNNNNNNNNNNNNNNNNNNNNNNNNNNNNNNNNNNNNNNNNNNNNNNNNNNNNNNNNNNNNNNNNNNNNNNNNNNNNNNNNNNNNNNAUCCGACGAUGGAGCUCGACGGCGGGGACGAGGAAGCAGCGACGCGGCUCCGGCGAGUGGACCUCCAGGCGACGGCGUUGCGGUGAACGGCGGGGCAUGGCGUCGGCGGCGAAGCCCACGGGCGGCGACGGGAUCGAUCCCCCCGAUCCAGAUCGGUGGCAGAGGAGGAUGAGAGAGUGGGGGUCGUGGGGGGAGUGGGGGGUAGCGGGCUCUAGGUAGUGGGGGUUGAACCGCUAGGGUUCGACCGGGGUGGGGAUUAGUAGGGGAGGCCGGGCCGGUUGUGGCCUGGUGGCCAGCUCGGCCACAGCCCAGCAGGGCGGCUUUGUUUCUUUUUCUUUUCUUUUCUGUUGUUUUAUUUUAGUUUUUGUUAGUUUAAUUUCUUUAAAAUACAAGUUAGCACCUAAAUUAGUACCAUCAAAAUAGGCCACUGCCAAACCUAGUUGGGACCCAAAAUAAUUUAGUUUAAUAUUUAAUAUACUCAAAAGCAAUUAAAUUAUUAUUUUAGAUACAAUUUUAAAUUAGUUUAGGGCAUUUAAACACUUUGGAAAAGGUUGGUUCCACCACCAAAACUAGUUAGGGAUUAUUUGCCACAUGAUGAACAUUUUAGUUUUAAUGUUUCAAAACUUUUACCGUUUGACUUGAUUUUGAAUUUUAAUUUGAAUCGUCUUCAAACUAAUGCGAGAUUAGCAACAGUAAUCGAGGUGGUGUGACAUCAUUAGUAGAGGUUACUGUAGCUUGAUUAUCUGAGCAUCACAGGGGGGCGCGCCCUCCACCCUCGUGACCGCCUCGUGGCUUUCUUGACGGAGGGUCCAAGUCUCCCGGAUCUUAUCUGAUGAGAAAAUCACGUUUCCGAAGGUUUCAUUCCGUUUGGACUCCGUUUGAUAUUCCUUUUCUUCGAAACCCUAAAACAGGCAAAAAAACAGCAAUUCUGGGCUGGGCCUCCGGUUAAUAGGUUAGUCCCAAAAAUUAUAUAAAAGUGGAAAAUAAAGCCCAAUAAUGUCUAAAACAGUAGAUAAUAUAGCAUGGAGCAAUCAAAGAUUAUAGAUACGUUGGAGACGUAUCAAGCAUCCCCAAGCUUAAUUCCUACUUGUCCUCGAGUAAGUAAAUGAUAAAAAUAGAAUUUUUGAUGCGGAGUGCUACUUGGCAUAAUUUUAAUGUAAUUCUUCUUAAUUGUGGUAUGAAUAUUCAGAUCCGAAAGAUUCAAGACAAAAGUUCAUAUUGACAUAAAAAUGAUAAUACUUCAAGCAUACUAACUAAGUAAUUAUGUCUUCUCAAAAUAACAUGGCCAAAGAAAGCUCAUCCCUACAAAAUCAUAUAGUUUAGUCAUGUUUCAUUUUCGUCACACAAGAAUGCUCUCAUCAUGCACAACCCCGAUGACAAGCCAACCAAUUGUUUCAUACUUCAGUGAUCUCAAACCUAUAAAAUUUCACGCAAUAUAUGAGCACGAGCCAUGGACAUAGCACUAUGGGUGGAAUAGAAUAUAAUGAGGGGGGUUAUGUGGAGAAGACAAAAAGGGAGAAAGUCUCACAUCAACGAGGCUAGUCAAUGGGCUAUGGAGAUGCCCACUGUGUGAGUCCUGGAUUAGGGAGUCUCCUGACAGCCGGACUAUCUCCAUUGGCCGGACUGUUAGACUAUGAAGAUACAAGAUUGAAGACUUCGUCUCAUGUCCGGAUGGGACUCUACUUAGCGUGGAAGGCAAGCUAGGCAAUACGUAUAUGGAUAUCUCCUCCUUUGUAACCGACCUUGUGUAACCCUAACCCUCUCCGGUGUCUAUAUAAACCGAAGGGUUUUAGUCCGUAGGACAACAAUCACAACAUACAAUCAUACCAUAGGCUAGCUUCUAGGAUUUAGCCUCUCUGAUCUCGUGGUAGAUCCACUCUUGUAACACCCAUAUCUUCAAUAUUAAUCAAGCAGGACAUAGGGUUUUACCUCCAUCAAGAGGGCCCGAACCUGGGUAAAACUUCGUGUCCCUUGCCUCCUGUUACCAUCCGGCCUAGACGCACAAUUCGGGACCCCCUACCCGAGAUCCGCAGGUUUUGACACCGACAUUGGUGCUUUCAUUGAGACUUCCUCUGUGUCGUCGCCGUUAGGCUUGAUGUUCCUACUAUCAUCGAUAGCGAUGUGGUCCAGGUUGAGACUUUUCUCCCGGGACAGAUCUUCAUAUUCGGCGGCUUUGCACUGCGGGCUAAUUCGCUUGACAGCUUGGACCCACCAGCUAUAUCUUCGCACGCAAGGAAGUGCAUCCUUAUUACGCACAAAAAAUGAAUACUCCCCCUGCUAGCUGGGACCAAGUAUAGUUGCAGGCUAACUUGUGGGCCUACUAAGUUGACGAGGACGGAGGGCUUUGUCAACUUAGUCAAUAUGCAUUUUUCUAACUCCAGUGAUCGUAUGAUGUCCAUCCAACGGCCAUAGUGCUUUUUCAACCUCUGGUCUUCUUGCUCCAGCCGCCCAAACCAGCGUCGGUUGUGCCUCGUGCUCCUACCUCCCAUGGCUGGCUGCAAUGCGGCGGAGGCCUCACCGCCCCCUACUACUCCCACCGCUGGCCAGGCCAUCCCUCUACUCACCCACACCCCCUGUUAUUCUGCAGCGAUGACAGCCUCACACCACAGCGAACCAGUGAACCCUCAUACUCCUCUACGCGUGGGAAUCCACUAUCGCGUCUUCCCCGGCUCCGCGUCGUCCCCUUCCUAGUCCUCGCUGUCGUCCACCGCCCUGGUGCUCUCGGCGCGGCGUGGUCAAUGUGGUCAAGGAACGGCUUCCAUCGAACAUGGACUGUACGUGGUGAGGCUGACAGCUGGGUCCACGGCCGCAGCAAGGAAGUGCCUCCUUAUUACAUGCAAAAUAAUUAUUCCUCCACCUGACAGCGGGGACCCACCGGACGGGCCACCGUAUUUCGUGAAAAAAACAUUCCCCCCUGACUACUGGGACCCACCAGCUACAUCUUCGCAAGCAAGGAAGUGCGUCUGGGGAAAAAAAUUAUUCGCCCCCCUAACUGCUGGGACCCACCAGCUACAUCUUCGCACGCAAGGAAGUGCCUGACAGUUAGGACCCACCUGGUCGAAGCGUAUGUAGCGUUGUCAUUCUGGUCGCGAACAUGUACGUAUAUAGUGGUCGAUGUUGAGGCGUGCACGUGUCGUAGUAGAGGCGGCAUGUAGCAUGUACACGUACGUACAGCAACCAGUAUGCAAGAAAGAAAAUAUGGCCACGUACGUACAUACGGGCAAGGUCUCGAAGGCCUACUUGCACAUACGUACGACCAGGGCUCGUGUACAUGGUUGGGUUGGAACGGAGAAACUGCGUCGUCGUCGUGUUCAUGGGGAGCCAACCGGCUGGGUCAGAACAGAAUGCAUCGUCGUCUUCAUCGGGAGGGCUUGGAUGGAACAACCGAUGGAAACAAGGCCUGGCGUACCGUAGAACGGAGGAAACGGCCUUGUGUUCGACCGGCCACGGUCGAAACGGGAUCCUUUUCAUCGGGAGGGGUCUGGCGUACCGCAAAACGGAGGAAACGAACCUCCUAUGGAAGAAACGAGGGUCAUGUUGAUCGGGAGGGGUGUGGCGUACCGCAAAACGGAGGAAACGGACUUGUGUUGGAGCGCUAUGGUCAAAACGGGGGUCCUGUUCCUCGGGAGGGUUGUGGCGUACCACAAAAUGGGACUCCACUGGAUACUAUUCAUCUCCACCGUCGACCCCCUCCAGCCUCCACGGGCUACUGUUUAUCCACUGUCGACCUCCUCCAGCCUCCACCUGCGAUUGUUCAUCCAUGGGCUCCUGUUCAUCCAGCCUUCACCACGCGCUACUCCACCUGCUACUGUUCAACUAGCCCUCUCCACGGGCUCUUGUUCAACCACCCCUCCACGGGCUACUUUUCAUCCAGCCCUCCACCGUCUACUGUUCAUCCAGCCCUCCACGGGGUGGUCCUGUUCAUCCUGCCCUCCACGGGGUCCUGUUCAUCCAUUCCCAACUGGCUCGAUCAAUCGGGGUCCUGUUUAUCCAGAGGCAACACCACGGGGUCUUGUUCAUCCACCCCCAUCAGGAACUGUUCAUCCAAACCCCCAGCAACACUCACUGUUCAUCUAGAGGCAGCAUCGAUCGGCUUCAGUUAGCAGCAGUAGCGAAGGAAUCGCUCGAUCCGGUUCAGUUAACAGCCAUCGAUCGAUCGCUCGGGUUCAGUAACGCGUAGCCUGCAGUGCAAUCGCUCGGGUUCAGUUAGAGCCCAACGCCUCGCUCGGGUUCAGUUAGAGCCCAACGCCUUGCACCCACGCGCGUGCAUGUAUGAGAGAAACGCGCUUCACUCGGCCCCGACCACCCACCAUAACCGGGAACACCCCGAUAUUUUCUUCUCCCUCGCUUCUACCACUGUUUUUUCCGUCAUGGACGGCCCAAAGAAUGUCAUGCAGUUGUGUCUCCGGCCCACCCAGGACGAAAAGUCCAUUUUAUGUCAUGAUUUUUUGUCAUAGAAGUAGGACCCCACCACAUCUAUGAUGAUACCGUGUUUGUCACAAUUAUUGUCAUAGAAGUGUCAUAAGUAUGACAAAAAAAAUUCGUUUGGCCCAAAAUGUCACGGAUGUGUCUUUUUUUAGUGCAAAUGCCAAAUAAUGUAAUGCGAGGGAUAAGAGUUUGUGAUGGGUACUUGGUAUGUCUUGACUUGUGCUUAGACUCCCCGGCAACGGCGCUAGAAAUCCUUCUUGCUACCUCUUGAGCACUGCAUUGGUUUUCCCUUGAAGAGGAAAGGGUGAUGCAGCAAAGUAGCGUAAGUAUUUCCCUCAGUUUUUGAGAACCAAGGUAUCAAUCCAGUAGGAGGCCACACGCAAGUCCCUUGUACCUACACAAACAAGUAAGAACCUCGCAACCAACGCGAUAAAGGGGUUGUCAAUCCCUUCACUGUCACUUACGAGAGUGAGAUCUGAUAGAGACGAUAACAUAAUAUUUUUGGUAUUUUUAUGAUAAAGAUUAAAAGUAAAGAUUGCAAAAUAAACGGUGCCAGAAAUAACUUGUUGACGGGAGAUUAAUAUAAUAGAGAAUAGACCCGGGGGCCAUAGGUUUCACUAGUGGCUUCUCCCAAGAUAGCAUAAGUAUUAUGGUGGGUGAACAAAUUACUGUCGAGCAAUUGAUAGAAAAGCGAAUAAUUAUGAGAAUAUCUAGGCAUGAUCAUGUAUAUAGGCAUCACAUCCGUGACAAGUAGACCGACUCCUGCCUACAUCUACUACUAUUCCUCCACAUCGACCACUAUCCAGCAUGCAUCUAGAGUAUCAAGUUCAUAAGAACAGAGUAAUGCAUUAGGUAAGAUGACAUGAUGUAGAGGGAUAAACUCAAUCAAUAUGAUAUAAACCCCAUCUUUUUAUCCUCGAUGGCAACAAUACAAUACGUGUCAUUUCCCAUUCUAUCACUGGGAUCGAACAACGCAAGAUUGAACCCAAAGCUAAGCACUUCUCCCAUUGCAAGAAAGAUCAAUCUAGUAGGCCAAACCAAACUGAUAGUUCGAAGAGACUUGCAAAGAUAACCAAUCAUACAUAAAAGAUUUCAGAGAAGAAUCAAAUAUUGUUCAUAGAUAAUCUUGAUCAUAAACCCACAAUUCAUCGGAUCUUGACAAACACACUGCAAAAAGAGUUACAUCAAAUAGAUCUCCAAGAAGAUCGAGGAGAACUUUGUAUUGAGAUUCAACGAGAGGUAAGAAGCCAUCUAGCUAAUAACUAUGGACCCGAAGGUCUGAAGUAAACUACUCACACAUCAUCGGAGGGGCCAUGGAGUUGAUGUAGAGGCCCUCCGUGAUCGAUGCCUGAUAACCCGCAAGUAUAGGGGAUCGCAAUAGUUUUUGAGGGUAAAGUAUUCAACCCAAAUUUAUUGAUUCGACAUAAGGGGAGCAAAAGAAUACUCUCAAGUAUUAGCAGUUGAGUUGUCAAUUCAACCACACCUGAAAACUUAAUAUCUGCAGCAAAGUAUUUAGUAGCAAAGUAAUAUGAUAGUAGUGGUAACGGUAACAAAAGGUAAUGGUAGUAAAAGCAAUGUUUUUGGUAUUUUGUAGUGAUGAUAGCAAUAGCAAUGGGAAAGUAAAUAAGCGAAGAACAAUAUGUGGAAAGCUCGUAGGCAAUGCAUCGGUGAUGGAGAAUUAUGCCAGAUGCGGUUCAUCAUGUAACAGUCAUAACCUAGGGUGACACAGAACUAGCUCCAGUUCAUUGAUAUAAUGUAGGAAUGUGUUCCGAACAUAGUCAUACGUGCUUAUGGAAAAGAACUUGCAUGACAUCUUUUGUCCUACCCUCCCGUGGCAACGGGGUCCUUACGGAAACUAAGGGAUAUUAACGCCUCCUUUUAAUAGAGAACCGGAACAAAGCAUUAACACAUAGUGAAUACAUGAACUCCUCAAACUACGGUCAUUACCGGUAAGUAUACCGAUUAUUGUCACUUCGGGGUUAACGGAUCAUAACACAUAAUAGAUGACUAUAGACUUGCAAGAUAGGAUCAAGAACACUCAUAUAUUGAUGAAAACAUAAUAGGUUCAGAUCUGAAAUCAUGGCACUCGGGCCCUAGUGACAAGCAUUAAGCAUAGCAAAGUCAUAGCAACAUCAAUCUCAAAACAUAGUGGACACUAGGGAUCAAACCCUAACAAAACUAACUCGAUUACAUGAUAGAUCCCAUCCAACCCAUCACCGUCCAACAAGCCUAUGAUGGAAUUACUCACGCAUGGCGGUGAGCAUCCUGAAAUUGGUGAUGGAGGAUGGUUGAUGAUGACGAUGGCGACGGAUUCCCCUCUCCGGAGCCCCGAACGGACUCCAGAUCUUCCCUCCCGAGAGGUUUUAGGGCUUGGCGGCGGCUCCAUAUCGUAAAACGCGAUGAUUUCUUCUCCUAGAUUUUUUUCUCCCCGAAACACAAUAUAUGGAGUUGGAGUCGGAGAGGCAACAGGGGGCCCACGAGGUAGGGGGCGCGCCCUAGGGGGGCAGGCACGCCCCCACCCUCGUGGAGAGGUGGUGGGCCCCCUGGCAUUCAUCUUUUGCAGGUAUUUUUCUUAUUUUCUGAAAGUGGCUCCGUGAAGUUUCAGGUCAUUCCGAGAACGUUUGUUUCUGCACAUAAAUAACACCAUGGUAAUUCUGCUAAAAACAGCGUCAGUCCAGGUUAGUUCCAUUCAAAUCAUGGAAGUUAUAGUCCAAAACAAGGGCAAAAGUGUUUAGAAAAGUAGAUACGACGGAGACGUAUCAACUCCCCCAAGCUUAAACAUUUGCUUGUCCUCAAGCAAUUCAGUUGAUAAACUGAAAGUGAUAAAGAAAAACUUUUACAAACUCUGUUUGCUCUUGUUGUUGUAAAUAUGUAAAGCCAACAUUCAUGUUUUCACCAAAGAUUAUAACUAACCACAUUCACAAUAACGCAUAGGUCUCAAGUUUACUGAUAUGAAUGGCAUAAUCAACUAGCGAGCAAUAAUAAUAAAUCUCAGAUGACAACACUUUCUCAAAACAAUCAUAAUAUGAUAUAACAAGAUGGUAUCUCGCUAGCCCUUUCUGAGACCGCAAAACAUAAAUGCAUAGCACCUUUAAAGACCAAGGACUGACUAGACAUUGUAAUUCAUGGUAAAAGAGAUCCAGUCAAGUCAUACUGAAUGUAAACUAAUAGUAAUGAACACAAAUGACAGCGGUGCUCUCCAACUGGUGCUUUUUAAUAAGAGGAUGAUGACUCGGCAUAAAAGUAAAUAGAUAGGCCCUUCGCAGUGGGAAGUAGGGAUUUGUAGAGGUGCUAGAGCUCGGUUUUGAAACAGAGGUGAAUAAUAUUUUGAGCGGUAUACUUUCAUUGUCAACAUAACAACCAAGAGAUGGCAAUAUCUUCCAUGCUGCACACAUUAUAGGCGGUUCCCAAACAGAAUGGUAAAGUUUAUACCCCACCUUCCACCAACAAGCAUCAAUCCAUGGCUUUCUCGAAACAACGAGUGCCUCCAACUAACAAGAGUCCCAGGGGGAGUUUUGUUUGCAAUUAUUUUGAUUUAGUGUGCAUAAAGCAUGGGACUGGGCAUCUCGGUGACCAGCCAUUUAUCUCGUGAGUGAGCAGCAGAGUCCACUCCUCUUGAGAAUAACCCGCCUAACAUGGAAGAUACAGACAGCCCUAGUUGAUACAUGAGCUAUUCGAGCAUACAAAAUAGGAUAUUUAUUUGAAGGUCUAGAGUUUGGCACAUACAAACUUACUUGGAACGACAGGUAGAUACCGUAUAUAGGUAGGUAUAGUGGACUCUUGUGGAAUAACUUUGGGGUUUAAGGAGUUUGGAUGCACAAGCAGUAUUCCCGCUUAGUACAGGUGAAGGCUAGCAAAAGACUGGGAAGCGACCAGCUAGAGAGCGACAACAGUCAUGAACAUGCAUUAAAAUUAAUCAACAUCGAAUGCAAGCAUGAGUAGGAUAUAAUCCACCAUGAACAUAAAUAUCGUGAAGGCUAUGUUGAUUUUAUUUCAACUACAUGCGUGAACAUGCGCCAAGUCAAGUCACUUAAAUCAUUCAAAGGAGGAUACCACCCUAUCAUACCACAUCAUAACUAUCUCAAUAGCAUGUUGGCACGCAAGGUAAACCAUUAUAAUUCAUAGCUAAUCAAGCAUGGCAUAAGAAACUAUGAUCUCUAGUUGUCAUUGCAAACAUGUUUAUUCAUAAUAGGCUGAAUCAGGAAUGAUGAACUAAUCAUAUUUACAAAAACAAAAGAGGUCGAGUUCAUACCAGCUUUUCUCAUCUCAGCCAGUCCAUCAUAUGACAUCAUAAUUGCCUUUCACUUGCAUGAUCGAAUUAUGUAAAUAAUAAUAAUAGUGAACGUGCAUUGGACUAAGCUGGAAUCUGCAGUCAUUCAAUAAACAAGAGAAGACAAGGCAAUAUGGGCUCUUUUGUCAGAUAAACAAUAAUGCAUAUAAGAGCCACUUCAACAAUUUAAUCAUGGUCUUCUCCUAUCGACCCCCAAAGGGAAGAAAAGAAAUAAAAAUAUUUACACGGGAAAGCUCCCAACAAGUAAAAGAAGAAUAGGAAAUCUUUUGGGAUUUUCUUUUUAAUUACUACUACAAGCAUGGAAAUUAAACUGAUUAAAAGCUACAACUAUUUUUUUUUGGUUUUUCUUAAGGUUUAUUAAACACACAAGAAGAAAGCAUAAAAAGGAAAAUAAACUAGCAUGGAUGAUACAAUGAAAAAGUAUGAGCACCGACAUCUAGCAAUGAGUGUGUGAAUAUAAAUGUAAUGUCGAUGGGAAAUACGUACUCCCCCAAGCUUAGGCUUUUGGCCUAAGUUGGUCUAUGGCCAUGGCUGGCCUGGCGGAUAUCCAUAAUAGUAGCUGGGGCCGUACUGCGAUGCAGCAACUAUCGCCUGCUGAGCUGCAGCGCGGCGAUGAGCGGCCUCCUCUCUCCUCUCAUACUCAUCUACCUCCUCUAUGGUAAUAGUAUAUCUUCCUCUUGCCUGAUAAUAAAAGAAGGCAGGAGCAGGGAGAGUAAUAUGGACAGCACGGCGUCUGUCAAAGAUUAGUCGAUACUGGAGAGGUGAUUCGUUCCUCUCAACAAACUGGUGGUGAACCAUAGCAUUAAAAUCUACAUAAGCAGGAGGUAAUUCAAUAUCAUCUUCGCGUAUGGCUACACCAAGAAAAUUAGCUAUGCGGGUUGCAUAAAUCCCACCGAAGAAAUCUCCAUUAAAUCUAUUAAGAUGCAACCUACAUGCAACAAUGGAUCCCAAAUUAUAAGAUUUGUCUCCUAACACAGCACUCCUAAGAAUACUGAGGUCAGGGACACACAUGUGACAUGCUUCAUCUUUACCAUUUAUGCAUCUACCUAUGAAGAGAGCAAAAUAAUGUAUAGUAGGAAAGUGAAUGAUCCCUAUGGUAGCUUGUGUAAUAUCUCUAGAUUCUCCCACAGUUAUGCUAGCAAGAAAAUCUCUAAAUUCAGAUUUGCGAAGAUCCCUUAUACUACCACAUUAUGGAAGUUUGCAUGCAGUUGUAAAAUCCUCUAAGUCCACAGUGUAAGAAUUAUCAUAAAGAUCAAACAGGACAGUUGGAGAAUUACGUGAAGUUGAAAAUUCAAACCUCCUCACAAAGGUACUGGUGAGGUUAUGAUACUGGCUGCACUUCUCUUCCUCGAAGCUCACGAGAUCAGCAUUAUGCAAAUAUGCAUUGAAUUCAUCCUUAAUUCCCGCUCGAUCCAUAAAGUUCUCAGAAGUCCAUUCACAAGGACGCACUAGAGCGUCUCUUGGUGGCUCGUCAUCAGCAUCACGCAUUGCAAGCCUGGGUCCUUGCUUCUUUGAAGAACCACCUUGGAACAUUUCCCUAAGCAUAUUUCUUCCUCUGAAAAAUUCUGAAAUUUUUUAGUAACUUCAAAAUAAAAGUAAACCAAACUCAAUAAUAUUGAUAGCAACUACUCCUACAAGUGCCUAGGGCCUAUAUCAUGCAUCAAAACUACUUUUGACCAUAUAAAUUUGACAUGCAAGCUCAAGAACAGGGUCACCUAAGCAGCAAAAUUUUGCAAUGAAUAAAGCACUAGAACAAAAACUAAUUGGACCAAUGGAGGAGUCACAUACCAAGGAACAAUCUCCCCAAGAAGUUUUGUGAGAGGUGCUUUGAGCAAAGAGAUCGAAAAUGGCAGCAAAGUGAGCUAGAACUCGUGCUUGAGCUGGAUAUUCGUGUUUGUGGGAGGAAAAGGAGUGUGUGGGUGAAAGGAUAAGCGGAGGAGGGCCACCGUGGGCCCACGAGGCACGGGGCGCGCCCUCCACCCUCGUGGGCAGGUGGUUGACCCCCCUACUGUGUUCUUAGUGCCAAAUAUUCUCAAAUAUUCUAGAAAAAAUCAUAUUUAAAUUUCAGGGCAUUUGGAGAACUUUUAUGUUUGAGGUAUUUUUAUAUUGCACGGAUAAUCAGAUAACAGACAGAAAAAUAUUUGUUUUUAUUUUAUUUAAUAUAAAUAUCAGAAAGUAAAAGUGGGGUACAGAAGGUUGUGCCUUCUAGUUUCAUCCAUCUCAUGAUCAUCAAAAGGAAUCCACUAACAAGGUUGAUCAAGUCUUGUCAACGAACUCAUUCCGAAUAACAUGGAACCGGAGAAAUUUCGAAUAACACUAUGUUACCUCAAUGUGGAUAUGCACCUCCCCAAUAAUAAGAAUAUCAUAUUUCUUCUUGACAGUAGGAAGAGGAAAUUCAAAACCUCCAAAUAUAAUCGAUGGAAUUUUUCCAAUAGAGUUGAUACUAUGAACUUGAGGUUGUUUCCUCGGAAAGUAUACUGUAUGCUCAUUACCAUUAACAUGAAAAGUAACAUUGCCUUUAGUGCAAUCAAUAAUAGCCACUAUAGUAUUUAAAAAGGGUCUUCCAAGAAUAAUAGACAUACUAUCGUCCUCGGGAAUAUCAAGAAUAACAAAGUCCGUUAAAAUAGUAACGUUUGCAACUACAACAGGCACAUCCUCACAAAUACCGACAGGCAUAGCAGUUGAUUUAUCAGCCAUUUGCAAAGAUAUUUCAGUAGGUGUCAACUUAUUUAAAUCAAGUCUACGAUAUAAAGAGAGAGGCAUAAGACUAACACCGGCUCCAAGAUCACAUAAAGCAGUUUUAACAUAGUUUCUUUUAAUAGAGCAUGGUAUAGUGGGUACUCCUGGAUCUCCAAGUUUCUUUGGUAUUCCACCCUUAAAAUUAUAAUUAGCAAGCAUGGUGGCAAUUUCAGCUUCCGGUAUCUUUCUUUUAUUUGUAAUAAUAUCUUUCAUGUACUUAGCAUAAGGAUUUGUUUUGAGCAUAUCAGUUAAUCGCAUACGCAAAAAGAUAGGUCUAAUCAUUUCAGCAAAGCGCUCAAAAUCCUCAUCAUCCUUUUUCUUGGAUGGUUUGGGAGGAAAAGGCAUGGGUUUCUGAACCCAGGGCUCUCUUUCUUUACCAUGUUUCCUAGCAACAAAAUCUUUCUUAUCAUAACGUUGAUUCUAUGAUUGUGGGUUAUCAAGAUCAACAGCAGGUUGAAUUUCUAUAUCAUUAUCAUUACUAGGUUGAGCAUAUCAUGAACAUUAUCAUUAGCAUUAUUACUAGUUUCAGGUUCAUUACCAGAUUGAGUUUUAGCAUCAGAAAUAGAAAUAUCAUCUGGAUUCUCAGGUGUUUCAACAAUAGGAUCACUAGAAGCAUGCAAAGUCCUAUCAUUUUUCUUUUUCUUCUUUUUAGAAGAACUAGGUACAUCUAUAUUAUUUCUCUGCGAAUCUUGCUCAAUUCUCUUAGGGUGGCCUUCGGGAUACAAAGGUUCCUGAGUCAUUCUACCAGUUCUAGUAGCCACUCUAACAUCAUUAUCAUUAUCUUUACUAUUCAAUUCAUUGAGCAAAUCAUUUUGGGCUUUAAGUACUUGUUCUACUUGAGUGGUAACCAUAGAAGCAUGUUUACUAAUAAGUUUAAGUUCACCUUUGACAUUAGCCAUAUAAUCACCCAAGUGUUCAAGCAUAUUUGAAUUGUAUUUCAAUUGUCUACCAAAAUAAGCAUUAAAGUCUUCUUGCUUAGCCAUAAAUUUAUCAAACUCAUCUAAGCAUGGGCUAGCAAAUUUAGUAAAUGGGAUUUCAGCUUUAUCAUAUCUAUAGAGAUAAUUUACCUUUACUACCUGUGUCGGGUUAUCAAGACCAUGAGUUUCUUCAAUAGGUAAUGAAUUAAGAUUAAAUGUUUCUUCAAUAGGCGGUAAAUUAAGACCAUGUAUUUCUUCAGUAGGAGGUAAAUUCUUAACAUCUUCAGCUUUAAUACCUUUUUCUUUCAUAGAUUUCUUUGCCUCUUGCAUAUCUUCGGGACUGAGAAAUAGAACACCCCUCUUCUUUGGAGUUGGUUUAGGAAUAGGCUCAGGAAUUGGCCCCGGAGGUGUCCAAUUAUUUUCAUUUGUCAACAUAUUAUUCAAUAGAAUUUCAGCUUCAUCCGGUGUUCUUUCCCUGAAAACAGAACCAGCACAACUAUCCAGGUAAUCUCUGAAGGCAUCGAUUAGUCCAUUAUAAAAGAUAUCAAGUAUUUUAUUUUUCUUAAGAGGAUGAUCAGGCAAAGCAUUAAGUAAUUGGAGAAGCUUCCCCCAAGCUUGUGGGAGACUCUCUUCUUCAAUUUGCACAAAAUUAUAUAUAUCCCUUAAAGCAGCUUGUUUCUUAUGAGCAGGGAAAUAUUUAGCAAAGAAGUAAUAAAUCAUAUCCUGGGGACUACGCACACAACCAGGAUCAAGAGAAUUAAAUCAUAUCUUAGCAUCACCCUUUAAUGAGAACGGAAAUAUUUUAAGGAUAUAAAAGUAACGAGUUCUCUCAUCUUUAGUGAACAGGGUGGCUAUAUCAUUCAGUUUAGUAAGAUGUGCCACAAUAGUUUCAGAUUCAUAACAAUGAAAGGAUCAGAUUCAACCAAAGUAAUUAUAUCAGGAUCAACAGAGAAUUCAUAAUCCUUAUUGGUAACAAAGAUAGGUGAAGUAGCAAAAGCAGGGUCAGGUUUCAUUCUAGCAUUUAGAGAUUGCUUACUCCAUUUAGCUAAUAAUAUUUUGAGUUCAUUUAUAUUUUUGCAAGCUAAAAUAGCUAAAGAAGCUUCUUGAUCAAAAACAUAACCCUUAGGAAUAAGAAGUGAUUCUUCAUCAUCACUUUCAUCAGUAUCAUCAGAUUCAAUAUUUUCAAUCUCUCUAGCCCUAGCAAGUUGUUCAUCAAGAAAAUCCCUAAGUGGCACAGUAGUAUCAGGCAUAGAGGUAGUUUCAUCAUAAGUAUCAUGCAUAGCAGAACUGGCAUCAUCAAUAACAUGCGACAUAUCAGAACGAAUAGCAGAAGCAGGUGUAGGUGUCGCAAGCUUACUCAUAACAGAAGGUGAAUCAAGUCCAGAGCUAGAUGGCAGUUCCUUACCUCCCCUCGUAGUUGAGGGAUAGAUCUUGGUUUUUGGAUCUCUCAAGUUCUUAAUAAUGAUAAGCAGAUAUAUAUCCCAAGUGACUCAAAGAAUAGAGCUAUGCUCCCCGGCAACGGCACCAGAAAAUUGUCUUGAUAACCCGCAAGUAUAGGGGAUCGCAACAGUUUUCUAGGGUAAAGUAUUCAACCCAAAUUUAUUGAUUCGACACAAGAGGAGCCAAAGAAUACUCUCAAGUAUUGGUAGCUGAGUUGUCAAGUCAACCACACCUGGAAACUUAAUAUCUGCAGCAAAGUAUUUAGUAGCAAAGUAAUAUGAUAGUAGUGAUAACGGUAACAAAAGGUAACGGUAGUAAAAGCAAUGUUUUUGGUAUUUCGUAGUGAUGAUAGCAAUAGCAACGGGAAAGUAAAUAAUCGAAGAACAAUAUGUCCAAAGCUCGUAGGCAAUGGAUCGGUGAUGGAGAAUAAUGCCAGAUGCGGUUCAUCAUGUAACACUCAUGACCUAGGGUGACAUAGAACUAGCUCCAGUUCAUUGAUAUAAUGUAGGCAUGUAUUCCAAACAUAGUCAUAUGUGCUUAUGGAAAAGAACUUGCAUGACAUCUUUUGUACUACCCUCCCGUGGAAGCGGGGUCCUUACGGAAACUAAGGGAUAUUAAGGCCUCCUUUUAAUAGAGAACCGGAACAAAGCAUUAACACAUAGUGAAUACAUGAACUCCUCAAACUACGGUCAUCACCGGUAAGUAUCCCGAUUAUUGUCACUUCGGGGUUAACGGAUCAUAACACAUAAUAGAUGAUUAUAGACUUGCAAGAUAGGAUCAAGAACACUCAUAUAUUGAUGAAAACAUAAUAGGUUCAGAUCUGAAAUCGUGGCACUCGGGCCCUAGUGACAAGCAUUAAGCAUAGCAAAGUCAUAGCAACAUCAAUCUCAGAACAUAGUGGACACUAGGGAUCAAACCCUAACAAAACUAACUCGAUUACAUGAUAGAUCCCAUCAAACCCAUCACUGUCCAGCAAGCCUACGAUGGAAUUACUCACGCACGGCAGUGAGAAUCAUGAAAUUGGUGAUGGGGGAUGGUUGAUGAUGACGAUGGCGACAGAUUCCCCUCUCUGGAGCCCCGAACGGACUCCAGAUUAGCCCUCCCGAGAGGUUUUAGGGCUUGGCGGCGGCUCCGUAUCGUAAAACGCGAUGAUUUCUUCUCCCUAAUUUUUUCUCCCCGAAACACAAUAUAUGGAGUUGGAGUUGGAGUCGGAGAGGCAACAGGGGGCCCACGAGGUAGGGGCACACCUCCCACCCUCGUGGAGAGGUGGUGGGCCCCUGGCCUUCAUCUUUUGCAGGUAUUUUUCUUAUUUUCUAAAAAGUGGCUCCAUGAAGUUUCAGGUCAUUCUGAGAACGUUUGUUUCUGCACAUAAAUAACACCAUGGUAAUUCUACUAAAAACAGCGUCAGUCCGGGUUAGUUCCAUUCAAAUCAUGCAAGUUAGAGUCCAAAACAAGGGCAAAAGUGUUUGGAAAAGUAGAUACGACAGAGACGUAUCAAUGCCCCCUCCGGCUUAGUGCCGGAAAAGGCCCCAAGAUGGGAUCUCUUGGGUACAGAAGGUUGCGGCGGUGGAAAUAGGGUUUCGUGGUGCUCCUGGAUGUUUUCAGGGUAUAUGAGUAUAUAUAGGCGAAGGAAGUCGGUCAAGAGAGCCACGAGGGGCCCACGAGGGUGGGAGGUGCACCCAGGGGGGCAGGCGCGCCUCCCUGCCUCGUGGCCUCCUCGGUUCUUUCUUGACGUCCACUCCAAGUCCUCUGGAUCACGUUUGUUCCAAAAAUCACUCUCCCGGAGGUUUCAUUCCGUUUGGACUCCGUUUGAUAUUCCUUUUCUGCAGAACACUGAAAUAGGCAAAAAAACAGCAAUUUGCACUGGGCCUUGGAUUAAUAGGUUAGUCUCGAAAAUAAUAUAAAAGUGUAUAAUAAAGCCCAUUAAACAUCCACAACAGAAUAUAUAAUAGCAUGGAGCAAUCAAAAAUUAUAGAUACGUUGGAGACGUAUCAUGGACCUAGUCCGUGUAGUUGCUCCCAUCAUCUUUCAAUUUAGCUUUCUCUAGGAACGCAUUAAAAUUCAACGGAACAAUAGCACGGGCCAUCUAUCUAUAAUAACAUAGACAUGCAAAAUACUAUUAGGUACUAAGUCCAUGCUAAAUUAAAGUUCAAUUAAUCAUAUUACUUAAGAACUCCCACUUAGAUAGACAUCCCUCUAAUCAUCUAAGUGAUCCAUAUCAACUAAACCAUGUCCGAUCAUCACAUGAGAUGGAGUAGUUUUCAAUGAUGAAUAUCACUAUGUUGAUCAUAUCUACUAUAUGAUUCACGCUCCACCUUUCGGUCUCAGUGUUCCGAGGCCAUAUCUGCAUAUCCUAGGCUCGUCAAGUUUAACCCGAGUAUUCCACGUGUGCAAAACUGGCUUGCACCCGUUGUAUGUGAACAUAGAGCUUAUCACACCCAAUCAUCACGUGGUGUCUCGGCACGACGAACUGUAGCAACGGUGCAUACUCAGGGAGAACCCUUGUACCUUGAAAUUUAGUGAGUGAUCAUCUUAUAAUUCUACCGCCGAACUAAGCAAAAUAAGAUGCAUAAAUGAUAAACAUCACAUGCAAUCAAUAUAAGUGAUAUGAUAUGGCCAUCAUCAUCUUGUGCCUUUGAUCUCCAUCUCCAAAGCACCAUCAUGAUCACCAUCAUCACCGGCUUGACACCUUGAUCUCCAUGGAAGCAUACUGCUUAGUGAUAAAGUAAAGCAAUUACAUGGAGAUUGCAUUUCAUACAAUAAAGCGACAACCAUAUGGUUCCUGCCAGUUGCCGAUAACUCUGUUACAAAACAUGAUCAUCUCAUACAAUAAAAUUUAGCAUCAUGUCUUGACCAUAUCACAUCACAACAUGCCCUGCAAAAACAAGUUAGAUGUCCUCUACUUUGUUGUUGCAAGUUUUACGUGGCUGCUACGGGCUGAGUAAGAACUGUUCUUACCUACGCAUCAAAAACCACAACACGGUAUAGUGAUUGCUUUUUUAUCUUCAGAAAGAACCUUGUUCAUCGAAUCCGAUUCAACUAAAGUUGGAUAAACUGACACCCACUAGCCACCUUUGUGCGAAGCACGUCGGUAGAACCAGUCUCGCGUAAGCGUACGUGUAAUGUCUGUCUGAGCCGCUUCAUCCAACAAUACCGCUAAAUCAAGAAUCAACUAGUGAUGGCAAGCAAUAUGUAUAUACCCACGCCCACAACUCCUUUGUGUUCUACUCGUGCAUAUAACAUCUAUGUAUAGACCUCGCUCUGAUACCACUGUUGGGAAACGCAGUAAUUUUAAAAAAAUUCCUACACACACGCAAGAUCCAUCUAGGUGAUUGAUACGUCUUCAACGUAUCUAUAAUUUUUGUUUGUUCCAUGCUAUUAUAUUAUCAACCCUGGAUGUUUUAUAUGCAUUUAUAUGCUAUUUUAUAUGAUUUUUGGGACUAACCUAUUAACCUAGAGCCCAGUUCCAGUUUCUAUUUUUUCCUUGUUUUAGAGUAUCGCAGAAAAGGAAAAUCAAACGGAGUCCAAUUGACCUGAAACUUCACGAAACUUAUUUUCGGACCAGACGAAGCCCACGGAGUAUCGGAGAUGGACCAGAAGAGUCCCGGGCUACCCACGAGGGUGGGGGCGCGCCCCCUGCCUCGUGGACAGCCCGGAGAUCCACCGACGUACUUCUUCCUCCUAUAUAUAUCCAUAUACCCUAAAAACUUCGGGGAGCAGAAUAGAUCGGGAGUUCCACCGCCAGAAGCCUCCAUAGCCACCAAAAACCAAUCUAGACCCGUUUCGGCACCCUGCCGGAGGGGGGAAUCCCUCUCCGGUUGCCAUCUUCAUCAUCCCGGCGCUCUCCAUGACGAGGAGGGAGUAGUUCACCUUGGGGCUGAGGGUAUGUACCAGUAGCUAUGUGUUUGAUCUCUCUCUGUCUCAUGUUCUUGAGGUGAUACGAUCUUCAUGUAUCGCGAGCUUUGCUAUUAUAGUUGGAGCUUAUGAUGUUUCUCCCCCUCUACUCUCUUGUAAUGGAUUGAGUUUUCCCUUUGAAGUUAUCUUUUCAGAUUGAGUCUUUAAGGAUUUGAGAACACUUGAUGUAUGUCUUGCACGUGCUUAUCUAUGGUGACAAUGGGAUAUCAUGUGAUCCACUUGAUGUAUGUUUUGGUGAUCAAUUUGCGGGUUCCGCCCAUGAACCUAUGCAUAGGGGUUGGCACACGUUUUCGUCUUGACUCUCUGGUAGAAACUUUGGGGCAUUCUUUGAAGUUCUUUGUGUUGGUUGAAUAGAUGAAUCUGAGAUUGUGUGAUGCAUAUCGUAUAAUCAUACCCACGGAUACUUGAGGUGACAUUGGAGUAUCUAGGUGACAUUAGGGUUUUGGUUGAUUUGUGUCUUAAGGUGUUAUUCUCGUAUGAACUCUAUGAUAGAUUGAACGGAAAGAAUAGCUUCAUGUUAUUUUACUACGGACUCUUAAAUAGAUCGAUCAGAAAUGAUAACUUUGAGGUGGUUUCGUACCCUACCAUAAUCUCUUCGUUUGUUCUCCGCUAUUAGUGACUUUGGAGUGACUCUUUGUUGCAUGUUGAGGGAUAGUUAUAUGAUCCAAUUAUGUUAUUAUUGUUGAGAGAAUUUGCACUAGUGAAAGUAUGAACCCUAGGCCUUGUUUCAACGCAUUGCAGUACCGUUUGUGCUCACUUUUAUCAUUAGUUACCUUGCUGUUUUUAUAUUUUCAGAUUACAAAAACCUAUAUCUACCAUCCAUAUACCACUUGUAUCACCAUAUCUUCGCCAAACUAGUGGACCUAUACAAUUUACCAUUGUAUUGGGUGUGUUGGGGACACAAUAGACUCUUUGUUAUUUGGUUGCAGUGUUGCUUGAGAGAUACCAUCUUGAUCCUGCGCCUCCUACGGAUUGACAAACAUUAGGUCAUCCACUUGAGGGAAAUUUGCUACUGUCCUACAAACCUCUGCACUUGGAGGCCCAACAACGUCUACAAGAAGAAGGUUGUGUAGUAGACAUCAGUGAUGCAUAGCAACAAUAGGGGAGAGUGUUUUCUACAUACCCUCGUAGACCGUAAGCGGAAGCGUUAUGACAACGUGGUUGAUGUAGUCGUACGUCUUCACGAUCCAACCGAUCCUAGCACCGAAGGUACGGCACCUCCGCGAUCUGCACACGUUCAGCUCGACGACGUCCCACAAACUCUAGAUCCAGCUGAGUGUCAGGGGAGAGCUUCGUCAGCAUGACGGCAUGAUGACGGUGAUGACGAAGUUACCGACGCAGGGCUUCGCCUAAGCACUACAACGAUAUGACCGAGGUGGAAAUCCGUGAAGGGGGCCACGAUUUUUUUUUGAAACUAUGACAUUUUUUAUAGCAAAUUCGGAAACUAUAUGGCCUAAUGUGUUAUUUGCAAAACUAUGACCCCGUCGGCCUCUUUUAGGCCGAAGACCAACUUUUUGGUCAGCACUAGGCCGAAGUAGACUCUUCGGUCUCCUAAUGGCCGAAGACAGGCAUAGAUGGGCAGAAGUGCUGUUUUCGGCUUUGCUUUGGCCGAAGACCACUCUUCGGUCAUCUUUUGGCCGAAGAGCGCCCGGCCGGCAAUCGAUGCAUGCGUAGCGUACAUAUGAUGCUAGACUGAUGCAUCGAAGGGCUGAUCGGUAUUGCAUGUGGUUCAUGUGUGGCUAAUGCAUGCAUCAGGACCGAGAUAGCAAUGCAUGCAUCAGGACUUGGUGCAUACGUACUAGCACACACGCAUGCCGCCAACGUGCGCACAUGUAUUGGCGGAGAAGUAAUGGCUGAAAUACCAGUACAAUAUAUGUACCCGAUAUAGUCCAGCCGGCAAGCACGCGUAUGUAUACAAAUACGUGCACACAACCAGCCAGCCGGCGAGCUGCCCACGUACUAAACACAUGCAUCGGCAUAGAAUCUCGGUGCAGCUAACGUGUGUGCACACGUUCAGGUCGUCGGUGCCGUACGCCGGAGUGCGCAGCAGUGUGCUUAUGAGCUCUUCGGCCAAAAGAUGACCGAAGAGUGGUCUUCGGCCCGAGCAAAGCCGAAAACAGCUCUUCGGCCCAGCUGCGCCCAUCUUCGGCCAUUAGGAGACUGAAAAGUCUAUUUCGGCCUAGUGCUGACCGAAAAGUUGGUCUUCGGCCUAAAAAAGGCCGACGGGGUCAUAGUUUUACAAAUAACACUUUAGGUCAUAUAGUUUCCGAAUUUGCUAUAAAAAGAUCAUAGUUUCAAAAAAAUAGGGGGGCACCGCACACGGCUAAGAUAUCAACUUGUGUGUCUAUGGGGUGCCCCCUCCCCCGUAUAUAAAGGAGUGGAGGAGGGGAGGGCCGGCCCUAUCUAUGGUGCGUCCUAGGGGGAGUCCUACUCCCACCGGGAGUAGGAUUCCCCCUUUCCCUAGUUGGAGUAGGAGAGAAGGAAGGGGAAGAGAGAGGGAAGGAAGGGGGCGACCCCCCACCCAAUUCGGAUUGGGCUAGGGGGGCGCGCUCUCCACCUUGGCCUUCCUCUCCUCUAUUCCACUAAGGCCCAAUAAGGCCCAUAUACUCCCCGGGGGUUUCGGUAACCCCCGGUACUCCGGUAAAUGCCUGAACUCACCCGGAACCAUUUCGAUGUCCAAACAUAGGCUUCCAAUAUAUCGAUCUUUAUGUCUCGACCAUUUCAAGACUCCUCGUCAUGUCCGUGAUCAUAUCCGGGACUGCGAACUACCUUCGGUACAUCAAAACACAUAAACUCAUAAUACCGAUCAUCACCGAACGUUAAGCGUGCGGACCCUACGGGUUCGAGAACUAUGUAGACAUGACCGAGACUCAUGUACGGUCAAUAACCAAUAGUGUAACCUAUAUGCUCAUAUUGGUUCCUACAUAUUCUAUGAAGAUCUUUAUCGGUCAAACCGCAUAACAACAUGCGUUGUUCCCUUUGUCAUCGGUAUGUUACUUGCCCGAGAUUCGAUCGUCGGUAUCUCAAUAUCUAGUUCAAUCUCGUUACCGGCAAGUCUCUUUACUCGUUCUGUAAUGCUACAUCCCGUAACUAACUCAUUAGUCACAUUGCUUGCAAGGCUUAUAGUGAUGUGCAUUACCGAGAGGGCCCAGAGAUACCUCUCCGAUACACGGAGUGACAAAUCCUAAUCUCGAUAUAUGCCAACUCAACAAACACCAUCGGAGACACCUAUAGAGCAUCUUUAUAAUCACCCAGUUACGUUGUGACGUUUGAUAGCACACUAAGUGUUCAUCCGGUAUUCGGGAGUUGCAUAAUCUCAUAGUCAUAGGAACAUGUAUAAGUUAUGGAGAAAGCAAUAACAAUAAACUAAACGAUCAAAGUGCUAAGCUAACAGAUGGGUCAAGUCAAUCACAUCAUUCUCUAAUGAUGUGAUCCCGUUCAUCAAAUGACAACUCAUGUCUAUGGCUAGGAAACUUAACAAUCUUUGAUUAACGAGCUAGUCAAGUAGAGGCAUACUAGUGACACUCUGUUUGUCUAUGUAUUCACACAUGUACUAAGUUUCCGGUUAAUACAGUUCUAGCAUGAAUAAUAAACAUUUAUCAUGAUAUAAGGAAAUAUAAAUAACAACUUUAUUAUUGCAUCUGGGGCAUAUUUCCUUCAUGUGAGUGGGGGCCACGACCAUGGGUGUGGGUGGCAGCUGUGGGUGGUGUUGGUGGUGACCGUGGCCAUGGGUGUGGGUGAUUGUGGAAUGAGAGGCGAGGACGGCCAUGGCUUACUGGCCGAGGCAGGCGCAAGGGCGACGUGGGCGGCGACAAGGAUGACGAGGCUGACGGCGGCUGUAGACAGCGAGGGCGAUGUGGGCGGCGAGGACGAGGCGAUGGCGGCGAAGGAAGAGAUGGGAGAGCGAGAGUGAGUGAGUGAGUGAGUGAAGUGGUGGGGAGGGUCGUGCAUGUGUGUGGAUAAUUUUUGGCGGUGCGACGGGUGAGACAGAAGGCCUGCCACUGCUACUUUAGAGUGGCAGGCGGCUUUGCAGACCUGCCACAAGCAGAGUUCUGAUUUUUGGCCGAAAUUCGGCCAUCUUGGCCUGGCCCGGUAGAUGUCUUUACCGGCACAAUAUUUUCAGCCCAGUUUGAAUUUUUCUAACCCAACCCAAGUUCCGGAGCCUUCCCAUAUGCUUUGCCUUAGUUAAAACGCUUGAACCGUAUACCCAAACCCCGACGAAGAUGAAACCGAAUGCAAAGUUUCGUCCCUGACGGAGCUCAUUUACGGUUUGGAUAUAUGGUUUACAGACCCUGCAUUUAUUAUAUGCUUUGCCUCGGUUAAAUCAAACUUCAUUUCUUGAAAUCAUUUUAGAUCCAAACUUUCUCAGAGAUUAGUACACACUAUCAAAAUCCCCAUGACCAAAUUUUAGGACUUUUUGAGUUAAUUUUCCAUUUUCGAGACAUUAAAUGACUUGCUGGCAACUAAAAGUGGUAGGACAACCCUCUCGUGUAAGAAAUAGCAGGUAAACGAGCUCCGAAAGAGAUGAAACUUUGCAUUCUAUCUUCAUUAGACACAUGUAGGGUGUGUAAAAAAAUUGAGGGCAUAUACUCCCUCCGUCCCAAAAUAAGUGUCGUUGAAGAACUAGGGGUAGCUUAGUGGCAAGGGAACAUAGUAGUGUAUCAUGCGCACUAAGGGGCUGUUUGGUUCCCAGCCACACCUUGCCACACUUUGUCACACCUAACUUUAGGCAAAUUUGAUCAAGUUAGGUAGGUGUUUGGUUCUUUUUUUUCUUGAAUACGCACGAGUGUGCGUAUCAUAUAUUAAAGAGGAAAGGGAAAAGACUCCCUCCAUGUUCGGAAAGUUACACGAGUAUUUACAAGUGGAUUUGAUCCACUCCGCAACAUCUUAAGCGAACUACUCGGCCCUGACCCACACCUCAAGGCCGUCCAAAAAUGCCUCGACUUCUCCCUUCAGUAGACCAGCAAGCAUCCAUGCUUGGGCUUCUCUCUGUAUGUUUCGUAGGACCUGACGAGUGGCAGGCGUUGCUCCGUCAAACACCACAGCGUUUCGGUGUGUCCACAGCUCCUAGAGGACGAGAAUGCAAAUUGGCCUUGCGAGUUUCUUGUGUUUCCCAUAGUCCUCUUGUCGAAGGCACCAGUCAGGCAGCGUCUCGUUCGUCGUUGGUGCCCGGUCUGGCUGGCCCGGGGCAAGGCAAACCUUUGUCCAAACCUCCCGAGCAAAAACACAUCCGAUCAUGAUGUGUGUCAUUGUUUCGUCGUGCUGGCUACAGAGGGGACAUGAGGCUUGGUGUGGGAGGCCCCGCCGUGCUAAUCUAUCUGAGGUCCAGCACCUGUCCUUGAUGGCCAACCAAACGAAGAAACGCUUGCGUAGCGGCGCCUUAGACUUCCAGGUGAAAUCAGCCGUAGGAGUGACUUGGAGGUCGGCGAACUUGGCCGCGUAAACCGAUCUCGCCGAAAACUUGUCGUCCUUCUCCCAAGCCCAGUAGACGGUGUCGCUUGAUGUCGGUUGGAUGUUGAGCCGUUCCACACGCUGCCAUAGGUCGAGGAAUUGUCGAAGCAUGGUUGUAGACAGGUUUGGCCCCACUUCCGCUGCCCAAUUUUGAUCCACCAGAGCAACAGCCACCGUGCGAGUCGCCCUGAUUUGUCCUGGUAUUUCUUUGUAAAGGAGUGGCGCCAGCUCCUCGAUCCGAUAGCCCUCAAGCCAUCUAUCUUCCUAGAAGAGCGUUGUCGUGCCAUCGCCCACGAAUGUUGCAGCCGCCGCGCGAAAGAGCGCCAUUGAUUCGGCCGGGGCCGAGAUCUUUAACUGAGCCCAGGGCCGGGACUGGUCAGUGCGUUGCAACCACGGCCAUCUCGCCAACAGUGCAGUGCUCAACCAUCUUAGGUUCGGUAUGCCAAGGCCACCCGCCCAUCUGGGUCGGCAAAUUGAGUCCCAUGCCACUGCGCAAUUCCCUCCAUGAGCUUCCAUUUUCCCACACCAAAGGAAGCCGCGACAAAUCUUUGUCAAAGCUGUGAUAGUCUUGUGUGGGAUCUGAAGUGCCAUCAUCGCAUGAACCGGAAUCGCGCACAGCCGCUUUCCAGUUGGAUUGGUUCUAACCACACCUAAGGCAAGGAUUUUUUUUAUGAGUAGUGAACCACACAUGUUAUAGACAUAAAAAGUGUGGCAAGAUUCCCUUAGCCAAGCCAAAGUGUGACUAAUAAUUUGAGCAACUCAACUAAGGCAAAUGUGGCAAGUGUGACAAAAAAUCAUAUGGCAAUAUAUGGCAAAGAUGAUCACAAUCCAAACAGGCCAGUGACACUUAUUUCCCUAAAAAAAGAGUCAGUGACAUUUAUUGACGGAGGGAGUACUGUAUUAUGUAUAGCUGACCUGCUGAUAUAUAUGGUACAUACAAGAGUUGCAACCAAUUUAUAUAUGUUAAUUUAUUACAAUAAUGUACAAAUGUACAAGUGUACAAGUGCAACCAUAACAUGCACGCAGAACCACCUAUCCUUCUCUCAUCUCUGACAGUAGAGACGAGAGAAAAAAAGGUCGCAAAAACCACCAACCCAAAACCAUUUCUCAAGGUGAGCUAAACGUUCUGUUCCCGGCCCUUCUCCACUGCCGGAAUCACCAAGGAAAGAAACGAAAAAGGACAAAAUCAUUCCUGACGAACAAAAUAGACACUAAUUAAAGCAGCUUCGACAAAUUUUUGUGUGUGGGUGUGUGUAAUUUCAUGCCAUGCCCGUGACUGACGAGCACGACGCAAUCUGUACCCCGCGCGCAGCAAUCGACACGCACGGUGCAACGGCCUGGCUAGG